AUAAAAGAUAAGCCGUCCGAUCUGAAUUCUCUCUUUCCUUGAGAAACCCUCAAGACACCAGAACACUAGUGUUUCAGUAAUUCGCUCGACUCAAAGAAAAAGAGAGAAGGAAAUCGAGCGAUCUGAUACAGUAAAAAGCUCACGCUUUGGGGUAUAACUUCUUCAACGUUCCUCCUCUUGAUCAACCUCGAAGAACCUUGAAGAGAGAGAGAGAGAGAGAGAGAGAGAGAAGUUGAAAAUGGAAUUCGAUGAGUACGAUUACCUGGAAAAGACCGUGGAAGAGGGCAAGCGAGACAGUUCGUCGACGAAGAAGAGCCAGAAAGGUUACAGGAGGAGAGAGAGGUCCGUAGAGGAAGACAGCAGCCAUGAAGAGGAGGAGCAUCGGAGGAGUAAGAAAUCGAGAGGGGAGGAAGAGAAUGGGUCCCAGAGAGAGCGGUCAAUUAGGGAUGCUGCUGAGAAAGAUGUUGAGAGAGACAAAGAUCGUCGCAGGACUAGUAGAAAUGGAGAUAGGGGGUCCGAGAGAGAGAGGCUGAGGGACAGAGACAGGGAGAGGGAUAGGGGCUCCAGAGAGAAAGAUAGGGAGAGGGAGAGAGGCUCCAGAGAGAAAGACAAGGAGAGGGAAAGAGACAAGAGAGACAAGGAGAAAGAGAGGGAGAGGGCGAGAGACAGGGAGAGAAGAGAGAAAGACAAGGAGAGAGAAAGGGAGAUGAGAGACAGAGAAAAGGAGAAGGAGAAGGAGAUUGAGUUGCACCAGAGAAGCCGGAGUCGGUCGAGGUCAUCGAGGAGGCAUGAUAGUGAUCGCGAAAGAGACAAGGAAUAUUUGAGAGACAGGGAAACUGAACUUGAAUUAAGAGACAGCAGGAGACUCAAAGAAAAGAAAGAAGCGGUGGAGCCUGAAGCUGAUCCAGAAAGGGACCAGAGAACUGUUUUUGCAUACCAGAUGCCCCUGAAGGCAACUGAGAGAGAUGUUUAUGAGUUUUUUUCAAAAGCAGGCAAGGUGAGGGACGUUCGUCUAAUCAUGGACCGCAAUUCAAGACGUUCGAAAGGAGUUGGGUAUAUUGAAUUUUAUGAUGCAAUGUCUGUGCCAAUGGCUAUAGCUCUCUCUGGCCACCUACUUUUCGGACAACCUGUAAUGGUUAAACCAUCAGAAGCUGAAAAGAACCUUGUUCAAACUAAUGCUUCUGGUGGUGGUUCAGUCGUGGGAUCCUAUGGUGCAGUUGAUAGAAAACUGUAUGUGGGAAAUUUACACUUCAACAUGACAGAAUUUCAGCUUAAACAGAUUUUUGAAGCUUUUGGGCCCGUGGAGCUUGUGCAACUACCUACUGACCCUGAGACAGGACACUGCAAAGGUUUUGGGUUUAUUCAGUUCGCUCAACUGGAACAUGCAAAGGCAGCUCAAAGUUUGAAUGGAAAAUUGGAGAUUGCAGGUCGAAUUAUCAAGGUUUCAUCAGUUACAGAUCAUGUUGGAGUGCAAGAUUCAGGAGCCAAAGCAGCUGACUUUGAUGAUGAUGAUGGGGGUGGUUUGUCUCUAAAUGCUCAAUCAAGAGCAUUGCUUAUGCAGAAGCUGGAUCGCAGUGGUACUGCCACCAGUGUUGCGGGGUCUCUUGGAGUGCCAGUGCUUAAUGGUGCAACUUCAAAUCAACAAGCCAUCACCUUGCCUAUCGAUGGGCAAUCUGCAGUUCUUGCUCCAGCUCUUCCUGCACUUGUGACUUCUUUGGCCUCAGAGCCUAUCGGUAAGCCCAGCGAGUGUUUACUCUUGAAGAAUAUGUUCGAUCCAGCAACUGAGACUGAACCAGACUUUGAUUUGGACAUUACGGAGGACGUGCAAGAAGAAUGUUCGAAUUAUGGUCGUGUGAAGCAUAUCUAUGUCGACAACAUGUUGGUGCAGUCCUUCCUGGAACAGUGCUGGUUAUGUGUAUCUGCGGUUUGAAACUGUUGAAGCAGCAGCAAUUGCCCAACGAGCAAUGCAUAAUAGAUGGUUUGCACGGAGGUUGAUCUCAGCCGUGUUCUUGCAACCAUAUGAAUACGACGCCAAGUUUAAAGAUGCAGUUUGAAGAAUAUUUGUCAAAAAAAGAGCUUGAAAAAAGUUCUUAUUAUGUGCAAAUGGAGAUGGAUUUAUUGACAUGUUGAGUUGGCAAUUUGUACUCACUCAAAAAAGAGUUGGCAGUUUGUUUAAUUUUUAUUUUUGGCUUAUUACAGUUUUAAUUCCCCAGAAUGCAUCGCAUCGCAUUGCAUGCAAGAUAACAGUGAUGGGGGUGGGUAUCUCUAUCUGUAAUUGCAGCAGCCCAUUUGUGUAACUGACCUCACCUCUUCUCUUCUCUUCUCUUCUCUCAUGGAUCUUGAUGAUAGAUGGAUAGGUCGAGAAUGAAUGAAGUGCAAUUAGUUGUCAUGAAGAUUUUUUUAUUCAUUCAGUUGGUGAAUGGCUUGAAAUGAAAUAUGGGGUUAGAAGUCA